rnacentral:rRNA from 1 species
UGGGGAAUAUUGGACAAUGGGCGAAGCCUGAUCCAGCCAUGCCGCGUGUGUGAAGAAGGUCUUCGGAUUGUAAAGCACUUUAAGUUGGGAGGAAGGGCAUUAACCUAAUACGUUAGUGUUUUGACGUUACCGACAGAAUAAGCACCGGCUAACUCUGUGCCAGCAGCCGCGGUAAUACAGAGGGUGCAAGCGUUAAUCGGAAUUACUGGGCGUAAAGCGCGCGUAGGUGGUUUGUUAAGUUGGAUGUGAAAUCCCCGGGCUCAACCUGGGAACUGCAUUCAAAACUGACUGACUAGAGUAUGGUAGAGGGUGGUGGAAUUUCCUGUGUAGCGGUGAAAUGCGUAGAUAUAGGAAGGAACACCAGUGGCGAAGGCGACCACCUGGACUAAUACUGACACUGAGGUGCGAAAGCGUGGGGAGCAAACA